CCACCAGUUGGAAGCCAAAACCAAAGACCCAGUACACAACAAACAGAUCCUCGUCCCCAAACACCUUAUUAUCAACCACCUGAGCAGCCUCCGGUUUCUUCCUACGGACAUCCCCUUCCCUCAUAUAGUUCAGCAGCGCAUCAGCCUCACCUCCAUACCACAUUCCACCAACAUCUGCCGCUCCAUACCAACCCCAUCAGGUUCAUCAGCAGGCACCAGCAGAGUAUGGCCAACCUGCAUAUCCUAGAUGGCGUGGUCCAUACUAUAAUGCCCGGCUCAGCAACAGCAGCGCAUCAGCCUCCACCUCCAUACCACAUUCCACCAACAUCUGCCCCUCCAUACCAACCCCAUCAGGUUCAUCAGCAGGCACCAGCAGAGUAUGGCCAACCUGCAUAUCCUGGAUGGCGUGGUCCAUACUAUAAUGCGCCGGCUCAGCAACCUGGUUCUGUUCCCAGGCCUCCAUAUACUGUUCCAUCUCCAUACCCUCCACCUCAUCAAGGUGGAUACUAUAAGCAGCAAUAGUGUUAAUCCAACCG
rnacentral:lncRNA from 1 species